rnacentral:rRNA from 1 species
AUGGCCAUGAAAAUGGAUCUGAAGAUGAUCAUCGUGUGCUCGGUCGUCGGCUCUCUCGGGGUGCUGAGUGCCAUCCUGGGGUUCUCUGCCGAGGGCACCAAGCUCACUAUUUUGGACGUGUACGAGGGUAUCGGGGUGUGCCUGAAACCGCAGAACCCCGCGUUCGGGCUCGGGGUGUGCGCGGCCAUCUUCCUGGCCAUAGCCCAGAUCAUCUUCGCGGCCCUCGGCGGCUGCUGCGGCUGCUGCAAGCCCCGCGCCAUCCCCUCCCAGAGCAAACGGGUCAUCGGCGUCAUCUGCGCCGUCUUCUCAUGGAUUGUGGCGGCGGUCGCCUUUGGGAUGCUGGUGGCAGAAGCGGCCGCGAACGCCCCCGGGACGCGUGAAACGUCAGCGUCCGGCUAUUGCUACAUCCCCCUAGACGGCAUCUUCGCCGGCGGCGCCGCGCUCACGCUCGUCGCCACGGCCCUCGGGAUCACCUCCUACGUCAUGCUCCGCACGCAGCCUGCCACUGUUGCCGAGACCGCCGCGCCCAAGGAAGGCGAGCAGGUGCCGGCGGGCGCCGCCGAGAUCUCGACGGGGCAGCCGCAGUUCCCGCCGCAGCCUCCCCAGGGGCAGGCGCCGCCCGCGCCGCCGAGCUACCUGCAGUACUCUGCACCGCCCCAGGGGCAGCCGUACGACCAAGCGCCCUACCCGCCUCCUCCGGCACAGGGCUAUGGAGCGCACGCACCCAACCAGCAGCAACAGUUUCCCCCUCCUCCCGCAGAAGGCUACGGAGCGCACGCGCCAAACCAGCAGCAACCCCCUCCUCCUAAAGGACACGAACAGCAAUAA